GUGCCAGCAGCCGCGGUAAUACGUAGGGGGCAAGCGUUAUCCGGAUUUACUGGGUGUAAAGGGAGCGUAGGUGGCUCGAUAAGUCAGAAGUGAAAGCCCAAGGCUCAACCUUGGGACUGCUUUUGAAACUAUCGGGCUAGAGUGCAGGAGAGGUAAGUGGAAUUCCUAGUGUAGCGGUGAAAUGCGUAGAUAUUAGGAGGAACACCAGUGGCGAAGGCGACUUACUGGACUGUAACUGACACUGAGGCUCGAAAGCGUGGGGAGCAAACAGGAUUAGAUACCCUGGUAGUCC
rnacentral:rRNA from 1 species